AAGAAGAGGAGAGAGUACGGUACAAUAGGAUAUUUUCAGAGAGAAUAUUCACAUAACUUUCAUUACAGUAUAUUGUUAUAACUGUUCUAUUUUUAUCAGUAUUGUUGUUAAUCUCUUACUGUGCCUAAUUGCUAAUGGAUCAAUAUGAGACCCAGAAGGAGAACAUCUGGUAAAGGCUGAUGACCUUGACAUCAAUGACCUAUGGAUGCUGCUUUGCAGAUAGCUGAGUAUGAGCAGCUACAAUAGAUGGCAAAUUUUGGAACAAAUGUGUAGGAAGACAAAACAAAAGCCAUUUUCAUUUAGACGGGGAUACUGCAAAUGGUAGCCACGGGUAAGGCCCAUUAUGUGUCCGAAUGCAUCUGUGGACUUUCACAAAAUCAAAUGCAAGUAUGGAAAGUGAAAAUAUUCAAGGCAUAUGUACAGAUGAAAAAGAAAAACCCUUCUAAUUUGCAAUGGAGAACAUUUGCAACAAAAGUCGGUUCACCUUUGCUGGAAAGAACUGCAAUGGUACUUUAAAAACUUGCCAAAUGAUUCCAAUAUGAAGCUGGGGCUUUGAACCUUUGGUUUCCUAAGAGAUUAAACACAUGCAAAAAAUUAAUUACCAUUAAAUGAAACACAUGCUAUAA